rnacentral:misc_RNA from 1 species
GAUGAAGAACGUAGCGAAAUGCGAUAAGUAAUGUGAAUUGCAGAAUUCAGUGAAUCAUCGAAUCUUUGAACGCACAUUGCGCCCGCUAGUAUUCUGGCGGGCAUGCCUGUCCGAGCGUCAUUUCAACCCUCAAGCCCCCCGGGUUUGGUGUUGGGGAUCGGCUCUGCCUCACGGCGGUGCCGCCCCCGAAAUACAUUGGCGGUCUCGCUGCAGCCUCCAUUGCGUAGUAGCUAACACCUCGCAACUGGAACGCGGCGCGGCCAUGCCGUAAAACCCCAACUUCUGAAUGUUGACCUCGGAUCAGGUAGGAAUACCCGCUGAACUUAAGCAUAUCAAUAAGCGGAGGA